rnacentral:miRNA from 12 species
UUUUGAUCAUGUAAGCCUUUAU